UACGGAGGGGGCUAGCGUUGUUCGGAAUUACUGGGCGUAAAGCGCACGUAGGCGGCUUUGCAAGUUAGAGGUGAAAGCCCGGGGCUCAACUCCGGAAUUGCCUUUAAAACUGCAUCGCUAGAAUUGUGGAGAGGUAAGUGGAAUUCCGAGUGUAGAGGUGAAAUUCGUAGAUAUUCGGAAGAACACCAAGUGGCGAAGGCGACUUACUGGACACAUAUUGACGCUGAGGUGGCGAAAGCGUGGGGAGCAAACAGG
rnacentral:rRNA from 1 species